CAGGCCAGUAUUAAGCAUUACCCCGUGGUGGGGUUCCCGAGCGAUCAUAAGGGAGCUGACUGCAAAUCUGCCGUCAUCGACUUCAAGGUUCGACUCGAGCAAUAGUGAGAGAACGUUGCCGCAGGCAACGGCCCGAAGAGUGAGGAGCUUUAGCUCCGAAUAAUCCUUCCCGCUAUAGAA
rnacentral:sRNA from 1 species